UCCUCCGUUAGAUCCAAGUACUCUAAGUCUUUUCUUAGGGUCUCUUCCAAAGUUUUCCUAGGUCUUCCUCUACCCCUUUGGCCCUGAACCUCUGUCCCGUAGUCACAUAUUCGAACCGGAGCGUCAGUAGGCCUUCUUUGCACAUGUCCAAACCACCGUAACCGAUUUUCUCUCAUCUUUCCUUCAAUUUUGGCUACUCCUACUUUACCUCGGAUAUCCUCAUUCCCAAUCUUAUCUUUUCUCGUGUGCCCACACAUCCCACGAAGCAUCCUCAUCUCCGCUACACCCAUUUUGUGUACGUGUUGAUGCUUCAUCGCCCAACAUUCUGUGCCAUACAGCGUCGCUAGCCUUAUUGCCGUCCUAUAAAAUUUUCCCUUGAGCUUCAGUGGCCUACGACGGUCCCACAACACGCCGGAUGCACUCUUCCACUUCAUCCAUCCAGCUUGUAUUCUAUGGUUGAGAUCUCCAUCUAAUUCUCCGUUCUUUUGCAAGAUAGAUCCUAGGUAGCGAAAACGGUCGCUUUUUGUGAUCUUGGCUAGAUUGCUCCGGUCAUUAGUGUAGAUAAGUAUAUAAAUGGAUAGAGACAGGAAAGCAAACACAAGAUGUACGUGGUUCACCCAGAUUGGCUACGUCCACGGAAUAUAGGAGUUCUCAUUAAUUGCGAAGGGUUUACACAAGUACAUAGGUUCAAGCUCUCCUAGUGAGUACAAGUGAAUGAUUUAGUACAAAUGACAUUAGGAAAUAUUGUGGGAGAAUGAUAUCGUAAUCACGAAACUUCUAAGUACCGAAGUGUGGUAUCGUCUUCACUUACCUUAUCUGUCUCAUAGGUAGAUGUGGCAUCUUCUCUGGAAGUACUCUUCCUCCAUCCAGGGGUGGUAUCUUUAACUGGUGGAGAUGCACAAGGUAAUGUAUCAAUUUCACUUGAAGCUUACUUGUAGUUUCAGGCUUGGUCAAGCACGAUACAAACCAUGUAGUAGGAGUCCCCCAAGUCGCCGAGCUAGGGCAUCUGCUGAAAGAGAUGACAGACAAGGUAAGCAAUCAGAGCUCCAAGCAAUCAGUCCCAGACCAGAAGUUUGAUUUCAAGUUCCGGCUGAUUGUUCUCAUUCUCCCUAUCUUGCAGGCAGCAUGAAGGAUAAAGAGAAGAAAAAUGAGAAGAGAUGAUAUGAGAUACUUUUUCUUUUGAAGAAGUAACUUUCCACAGGCUUAUUCUUGAACUGGGCUGGAGGGUUUUCUGGUUUCCUCCAGAGUAUAAGGCCGACUAAAGAAUUUGAGGGUCAAAAUAAGUCCAUCAAAUCUAGAGUACGUUCGACCCUGCUGAUAUGGGAUACUUUUGCUUUUGACAAAGUAGUGGAUGUAUCGGCACGUGUGCUGUCACGCUUGUCUCCACAUGCUUCCUUGUAUCCUUCUCACUUGCCCUAUCUGUUCCUCAGGCAGAUGCGGUAUCUUCCCUGGAAGCAUAAGAUGUUGAAGAUGAGUACUCGAGAGCAAUGUCAGGUAAGUAAUCAGGUAAGGGGUUCAAGACGGUCAGUUCCUGACUGGAAGCUUGAUUCCAAGUGCUGACUGAUUGCUCUCUUUCUCCUUGUCUUGUAGGUAAGAACAAGGCCAAAGGAAAAGACAGGGAAAAAGCAUGAUAUGGGAUACUCUUGCUUUUAACCCUGAUGAUAUGAGAUAUUCUUGCUCUAGUAUAGCUUGUUUGCAGAGAUAUUAUCGGGGGAGAAAGAAAGCUGAAUAUUUCGAAAGGUUUCGUUGGGAGUGCCCUCUCAGAUAUGAGGAAGGGUUGAGCAUUUUUGCAAGUUUGCCUGUCCGUUACCAUGCUUAGUUAUAGCACGGUAGUGGGAGCUGCUAGCUUCACAUGUUUUAACUCUGUCAGAGCACUUUGAAAAAGUGGUCUGUGGUAUCUGGAAAGCUGAUUUUGCUUGUGAAGAUUACAGACAAGCUUUAUCCAAGGAGGUCUGGCUCUCGAAGUUGAGAAAGUGGUCCCUCUUCGAUUUUCGAACAAGCAAUCCUGUCAGGGAUCUGGCUCUCGAGAUUCGGAGAACGAUGCCUCUUCGAUUUUUGAGAAAGCAAUCCUGCUGGGGGUCUGGCUCUCGAGAUUCGGAGAGCGGUGUCUCUUCGAUUUUUGAGAAAGUAAUCAUGUUGGGAGUCUGGCUCUCGAGAUUCGGAGGGCAGUGCCUCUUAGAUUUUGGAGCAAGCAAUCUUGUUGGGAGUGUUUUCUCGAAUGUGGGUAAAGGUUGGGUAUGUUUGCUAGUCUACCUUGCCACGGAGCACAGAGGUUGACACAUAGGGACUUUCCAAUUAUCCAGCAGUGGUACUGUUCCUUUACCCUUGUGGGUAAUAAUAUGGUAGCUAGACCUUCAAAAUUUAUGUGUCUAAACUUUGUUAGUGUUGUUUCUUUGCUAUUCUUUUACCCUUCUUGGUCAGAGUGAUGUAGUGGGAGCUGCAAGUUUCACGUGUCUCAACUUUGUCAGAGAACUUUGGCAAAGUUAUCUGUGGUACCCAUGAGCUAAUGUUGUGUGUGCAAAGUGGGUGAUUGAACAGUAAGAUUCAUAUGCUUUCUAUUUCACCAGAAAUCUUCGAUAGAAUGCCCGUAAUUUCCGCAAAGCUGAGUGUCCGUGUGACAGGUGCUGACAAGGCUGAAAAAGUAGGUGCCUCUUCGAUUUCUGAUAUCGGCCCUCGUGGUCUCUGAGUAGCCCAGCUUUUGAAAAAGCAAGCGCCUCUUCGAUUUCUGAGAUCGGCCUUCGUGGUCUUUGAGCAGCCCAGCUUUUGAGAAAGCAAACACCUCUUCGAUUUCUGAGAUCAACCCUCGUGGGCUCUGAGCAACCCAGCUUCUAAGAAAGCAAACGCCUCUUCGAUUUCUGAGCAGGCGCCUCUUCGAUUUCUGAAACUCCGUCGAGUGCAGAUUUUUAUAGAGGCUGGCAUUAAGUUCCAAAGCACACUUGAAUCUCCACCGGUAGAAGCUCCAUUCUUGCACUUCUAAGAUCUUGAUUUGUCCGACCUGUUCUCUCUUCAACACCUUUGAAAAUGUCUGGCCCCUCCGACUGUCGUUUUGACUUGAACCUUGUUGAAGAGGCAGCCACGCCUUCUCCAGACAACAUAUGGCACCCAUCCCUUGUCUCCCCUACUGGUCCUCUUACCGUUGGGGAUUUCGUGAUGAAGAAUGAUAUGACCGCUGCGGUGGUGGCCAGGAACCUUCUCACUCCCAAAGAUAACAAACUACUUUCCAAACGGUCUGAUGAGUUGGCUGUUAAGGAUUCUCUGGCUCUCAGUGUUCAGUGUGCAGAUUCUGUGUCUAAUAUGGCCCAACGCCUAUUUGCUCGAACCCGCCAAGUUGAAUCAUUGGCGGCUGAAGUGAUGAGUCUCAAACAGGAGAUUAGAGGGCUCAAGCAUGAGAAUAAACAGUUGCACCGGCUCGCACAUGACUAUGCUACAAACAUGAAGAGGAAGCUUGACCAGAUGAAGGAAUCUGAUGGUCAGGUUUUACUUGAUCAUCAGAGGUUUGUGGGUUUGUUCCAAAGGCAUUUAUUGCCUUCGUCUUCUAGGGCUGUACCGCGUAAUGAAGCUCCAAAUGAUCAACCUCUGAUGCCUCAUCCUUCUAGGGUUCUGUCCAGUACUGAGGCUCUGAAUAAUCCCCCUCCGGUGCCUUCUCUUUCUGGGGCUCUACCGACUGCUGAGACUUCUCCUAAGCAACCUUUGUGAAUGCUCACUCUUGUUUGUUUAUUUUGACUCAUGUAUAUGUACAUAUUUGUAACUUAUCGGGGAUAUCGAUAAAUAAGCUUUGUUUCAUUUCAACGUAUUGUGUUAAAUACACCAAAGCCUUCUUCGCUAAGUUCUUUGAAUUUUUCUUUUGAUGAAGCUUGUAUGUUGAAGCUUUGUGAGUGGAGCAUGUAGGUUGAGGUAGUGUUCCCUUAAUUUCCCGAGUGAGGAAAACUUCUCGGUUGGAAACUUGGCAAAUCCAAGUCAUUGAGUGGGGUCGGCUAUAUGAAUCUUAGAACGCCAUUGUGCUCGGUCAUGUGUCAUGUCCUCUGUUAGAUCCAAGUACUCUAAGUCUUUUCUUAGAGUCUCUUCCAAAGUUUUCCUAGGUCUUCCUCUACCCCUUCGGCCCUGAACCUCUGUCUCAUAGUCGCAUCUUCUAAUCGGAGCGUCAGUAGGCCUUCUUUGCACAUGUCCAAACCACCGUAACCGAUUUUCUCUCAUCUUUCCUUCAAUUUCGGCUACUCCUACUUUACCCCGGAUAUCCUCAUUCCUAAUCUUAUCCUUUCUCGUGUGCCCACACAUCCAACGAAGCAUCCUCAUCUCCGCUACACCCAUUUUGUGUACGUGUUGAUGGUUCACCGCCCAACAUUCUGUGCCAUACAGCAUCGCUAGCCUUGUUGCCGUCCUAUAAAAUUUUCCCUUGAGCUUUAGUGGCAUACGGCGGUCACACAACACGCCAGAUGCACUCUUCCACUUCAUCCAUCCAGCUUGUAUUCUAUGGUUGAGAUCUCCAUCUAAUUCUCCGUUCUUUUGCAAGAUAAAUCCUAGGUAACGAAAACGGUCGCUCUUUGGUAUUUCUUGAUCUCCGAUCCUCACCCCUAACUCGUUUUGGCCUCCAUUUGCACUGAACUUGCACUCCAUAUAUUCUGUCUUUGAUCGGCUUAGGCGAAGACCUUUAGAUUCUAACACUUCUCUCCAAAGGUUAAGCUUUGCAUUUACCUCUUCCUGAGUUUCAUCUAUCAAUACUAUAUCGUCUACGAAAAGCAUACACCAAGGAAUAUCAUCUUGGAUAUGUCCUGUUAACUCAUCCAUUACCAAAGCAAAAAGGUAAGGACUUAAGGAUGAGCCUUAAUGUAAUCCUACAGUUAUGGGAAAGCUUUCGGUUUGUCCUUCAUGAGUUCUUACGGCAGUCUUUG
rnacentral:lncRNA from 1 species